GAUAAGGUGGCCGAGUAUCAGGCAGUAAAUUGUAAAUUUACUUACGAGCUAUAGCUCUUUUAUCA
rnacentral:tRNA from 1 species